rnacentral:rRNA from 1 species
UACGGAGGGUCCGAGCGUUAUCCGGAAUCAUUGGGUUUAAAGGGUCCGUAGGCGGGCCUGUAAGUCAGGGGUGAAAGUUUGUGGCUCAACCAUAAAAUUGCCUUUGAUACUGCAGGUCUUGAGUCAUGGUGGGGUUGCUGGAACAUGUGGUGUAGCGGUGAAAUGCAUAGAUAUCACAUAGAACACCGAUCGCGAAGGCAGGUGACCAACCAUGUACUGACGCUGAUGGACGAAAGCGUGGGUAGCGAACGGGG